AACGCGAAGAACCUUACCUGGGUUUGACAUCCUUGGACGACACUGGAGACAGUGUUUUCGGAGCAAUCCGACCAAGAGACAGGUGCUGCAUGGCUGUCGUCAGCUCGUGUGGUGACAUGUUGGGUUAAGUCCCGCAACGAGCGCAACCCCUAUUCUUAGUUGCCAGCAUUCAGUUGGGCUCUCUAAGGAGACUGCCGUGGUUAACACGGAGGAAGGUGGGGAUGACGUCAAGUCCUCAUGGCCUUUAUAUCCAGGGCGACACACGUGAUACAAUGGGAGGUACAGAGGGAAGCGAAACGGCGACGUGGAGCCAAUCUCAAAAAGCCUCUCUCAGUUCGGAUUGGAGUCUGCAAUUCGACUCCAUGAAGUUGGAAUCGCUAGUAAUCGCGGAUCAGCACGCCGCGGUGAAUACGUUCCCGGGCCUUGUACACACCGCUACAGU
rnacentral:rRNA from 1 species